GUCUGACUGAAUAGUGGCUGACUGAAUAGUCUGUCUGACUCUAAAUAGACUGUCUGAAUAGUGUCUGUCUGAAUAGUGUCUAUCCUAAUAGAGUCUUUCUGACUGAAUACUGUCUGUCUGAAUAGUGUCUGUCUGACUCUAAAUAGACUCUGUCUGAAUAGUGUCUGUCUGAAUAGAGUCUGUCUGAAUAGUGUCUGUCUGAAUAGAGUCUGUCUGAAUAGAAUCUGUCUGGCUGAAUAGUGUCUGUCUGGCUGAAUAGUGUCUGUCUGAAUAGUGUCUGUCUGAAUAGAGUCUGUCUGAAUAGAGUCUGUCUGAAUAUAAUCUGUCUGAAUAUAAUCUGUCUGGCUGAAUAGUGUCUGACUGAAUAGUCUGUCUGAAUAGAGUGUCUGAAUAGUGUGUCUGACUCUAAAUAGACUCUGUCUGAAUAGUGUCUGUCUGAAUAGUGUCUGUCUGAAUAGAGUCUGUCUGAAUAGAGUCUGUCUGAAUAGAAUCUGUCUGUCUGAAUAGAAUCUGUCUGGCUGAAUAGUCUGUCUGAAUAGAGUGUCUGAAAAGUGUCUGUCUGAAUAGAGUCUGUCUGAAUAGUUUCAGUCUGAAUAGAGUCUGUCUGAAUAGUUUCAGUCUGAAUAGAGUCUGUCUGAAUAGAGUCUGUCUGUCUGAAUAGAGUCUGUCUGAAUCGAACCGCCCUUGCUGUCUCUGCCUUGCCGGUUCCCCUCUCUCCACUGGGAUUCUCUGCCUCUAACCCUAUUACAGGGGCUGAGUCACUGGCUUACUGGUGUUCUUCCAUGCCGUCCCUGGGAGGGGUGCGUCACUUGAGUGGGUUGAGUCACUGACGUGGUCUUCCUGUCUGGGUUGGCGCCCCCCCUUGGGUUGUGCCGUGGCGGAGAUCUUUGUGGGCUAUACUCGGCCUUGUCUCAGGAUGGACCUGAGCCCUAGGACCAUGCCUCAGGACUACCUGGCUUGAUGACUCCUUGCUGUCCCCAGUCCACCUGGCCGUGCUGCUGCUCCAGUUUCAACUGUUCUGCCUGCGGCUAUGGAACCCUGACCUGUUCACCGGACGUGCUACCUGUCCCAGACCUGCUGUCCCAGAGCGGUAGAGAUACUCUCAAAGAUCGGCUAUGAAAAAGCCAACUGACACUUACUCUUGUGUUACUAACUUGUUGCACCCUCGACAACUACUAUGAUUAUUAUUAUUUGACCAUGCUGGUCAUUUAUGAACAUUUGAACAUCUUGGCCAUGUGCUGUUAUAAUCUCCACCCGGCACAGCCAGAAGAGGACUGGCCACCCCUCAUAGCCUGGUUCCUCUCUAGGUUUCUUCCUAGGUUUUGGCCUUUCUAGGGAGUUUUUCCUAGCCACCGUGCUUCUACACCUGCAUUGCUUGCUGUUUGGGGUUUUAGGCUGGGUUUCUGUACAGCACUUUGAUAUAUCAGCUGAUGUAAGAAGGGCUAUAUAAAUACAUUUGAUUUGAUUUUAUUUAGAGUCUGUCUGAAUAGAGUCUGUCUGACUGAAAAGUGUCUGUCUGAAUAGUCUGUCUGA
rnacentral:lncRNA from 1 species